AACGUAGGAGACUAGCGUUAUCCGGAUUUACUGGGCGUAAAGCGUGUGCAGGCGGUUCGGCAAGUUGGAUGUGAAAUCUCCCGGCUCAACUGGGAGGGGUCGUUCAAAACUACCGGACUUGAGGACAUCAGAGGAAGGUGGAAUUCCGGGUGUAGUGGUGAAAUGCGUAGAUAUCCGGAGGAACACCAGUGGCGAAGGCGGCCUUCUGGGAUGUUUCUGACGCUCAUACACGAAAGCUAGGGGAGCGAACGGG
rnacentral:rRNA from 1 species